GGUACCACUUCUGUCUGUACAGGGAGUUUAAACAUUCACAGCGUAAACAUGAAGUCAGACGCUUUGCUCUGCUGUGGCUUAUAGGCCAACUUUUCUUCUUCUUUUUCUUUUUGUCAAUUUAAAGUCAAAUAUGUCGUCAUGUAUUUCUAAGUGAGACGCAAUAUCAGCGAGGGUCUCUGAGCUAGCCGAGGGUUUCCUUCUAUGACUGAAGCGGUCUCUGAGGGAGAGAGAGAGCAGCACCUCUUCCUUUACUGAUGCCACUGAAGACAUGAAACAAGAGACCAAGGCCCAAUCCCAUUUCACCCCUCGCCCCUACCGCUUAGCCCUCACACCCUCCGUUUUGCACAGUCACGCAUAGGGUAGGGUGUACCGGCAAGAUGGCUGCACAAGCAAGCAAAGAAAUACACAAAUCAGGAAAAGGCCGGAGUCGCUGUUCUCAGAUGAGGCAGGAGAGCUGCGGUCCUCUGAUGUGGGGCUCUCAUCAGGAACACUGAGAAAACACACUCCAGUUAAACAACCAGGGAAUGAAGAGGGGUGAAUGAGUGUCAUGUCUAGAGAUGGCAUGAUACUGCAGUGUGUUUCCUGACACCGAAACCUUGAGAAUCGACUGACACCAAAGCUGAUCUGAUAUUUCUUCUUUAAAAACGAUUUUACUUUAAAAUGAACUAUUAGCGAAGAAGUUCACUUAAGAGGUGCAUUAAAAAGUAUGCAAUCAUGCUUAAACUACUCAAACACUCUGCUACCCCACAGGAAGAAAUACACAGCUAACAUCAUAUCACAUAUUACAUGUGAGCAUAUGCUAUUUCAGGAUAGAUUUGUUACAGUAUUGGACCAGAUUCAUUUAUUUUCCCCUCCGAUAUCUGAUCCAGUAUUUUCUGCUGACACCGGCUUGAUCUCUAGUCAUGUCACCAAAAGAAAAGAGAUACUGUUCAAAAUUUGAGACCAUCCUUCAUUUCAUUUCCAGUCAAAAUGUCCAUUAAGAACAUGUUACUCAUUUUUCAGCAUGUGGAAAAAUAUAAAAAAUCAGCAAACAUUGCACACAAGCCUCAAAAACUAAAUACAAUAUAAUUUUGUUCAGUAUUUUGUGUCUCUCCUGUUUUUCUUUAAUGCAGCUCCUAUCCGUUUCAGGAGACUUGCUUACAGUUUUGUUAGGAAAUUUUCAGGUGUAUUUUUUUCACACCUUUAAAGUUCUGUUUUAGAAGUUGGUUGUAUUUUCAGCCUUACACAUUCAGUAAUGUUGAGGUCUGGGCUCUGGGGUGAUGAGUCCAUUCUUAUGACAACAUGACCAGCUUCUUUGUUUGAUUCGUCUAUUUCCUUUUCUCAGUAACAGCUUUUUGACAGCUACACAUCCUUUC